UCUUUUUAGAGAUCCAACGGCUGAGCAUCACAUUCAUGAGGACCUAGUUGGUUUUGCUAGACCUGGUGGGCUUCCUCCAGCAGUUACUAGUUUUCUAACAAAUAAUGCAGUUUAGGGUUUCCCAAGCGACAUAUUGAGUUGUAGUGUAGAACUAGUACUGUAUUCAUUUCAAGUGAAGCAAGCUAUUGUUCGCCCUCUCCCUCUCUCUCUUGAGCUCCUCCACCUCCAUCAUUUUUCGAUCGGAAAGCAACGUUGAAGUCCAUAUAUGGAGCCGUUAACUAAUAGGGAGGUACAGUCUGUAACGGAACUACCAUCACAGGAAAUAGAAGCGCAUCAUCGAACACAGGACUUUGAAGAAACAGAUGGUUAUGCUGAUAACUUGCGCUUGUACCAGCAGCUGUACAGCUAUGCUACUCAU